rnacentral:rRNA from 1 species
UACGUAGGGCGCAAGCGUUGUCCGGAAUUAUUGGGCGUAAAGAGCUCGUAGGCGGUCUGUCGCGUCGGCUGUGAAAUCCCGGAGCUCAACUCCGGGUCUGCAGUCGAUACGGGCAAACUGGAGUACUGCAGGGGAGACUGGAACUCCAGGUGUAGUAGUGAAAUGCGUAGAUAUCUGGAAGAACACCAAUGGCGAAGGCAAUGUUCUGGCUCGUUUCUGACGCUCAGGUGCGAAAGCCAGGGGAGCGAACGGG